rnacentral:rRNA from 1 species
AGUCGACGAGAGGACAUGGGAAGCUUGCUUCCUAUGAAAUCGAGUGGCAAACGGGUGAGUAACGCGUAAACAACCUGCCCUUCGGAUGGGGAUAACAGCCGGAAACGGCUGCUAAUACCGAAUACGAUCUUUUCGUCGCAUGACGGAAAGAAGAAAGGAUGGCCUCUAUACAAAGCUAUCGCCGAAGGAGGGGUUUGCGUCUGAUUAGCUGGUUGGAGGGGUAACGGCCCAACAAGGCGAUGAUCAGUAGCCGGUCUGAGAGGAUGAACGGCCACAUUGGGACUGAGACACGGCCCAGACUCCUACGGGAGGCAGCAGUGGGGAAUCUUCCGCAAUGGACGAAAGUCUGACGGAGCAACGCCGCGUGAGUGAAGAAGGUCUUCGGAUUGUAAAGCUCUGUUAUACGGGACGAAAAAGACGGAUGCCAACAGUAUCCGUCCGUGACGGUACCGUAAGAGAAAGCCACGGCUAACUACGUGCCAGCAGCCGCGGUAAUACGUAGGUGGCAAGCGUUGUCCGGAAUUAUUGGGCGUAAAGGGCGCGCAGGCGGUUCGGUAAGUCUGUCUUAAAAGUGCGGGGCUUAACCCCGUGAGGGGACGGAAACUGUCGAACUUGAGUGUCGGAGAGGAAAGCGGAAUUCCUAGUGUAGCGGUGAAAUGCGUAGAUAUUAGGAGGAACACCGGUGGCGAAAGCGGCUUUCUGGA